AGAAUUUUUCUCAAUGGGGGAAACCCUGAAGGAGCGACGCCGCGUGGAGGAUGAAGGUUUUCGGAUUGUAAACUCCUGUCAUUUGGGAACAAACCUUUCAUUUAACUGGUGAAAGACUGAUAGUACCAGAAGAGGAAGAGACGGCUAACUCUGUGCCAGCAGCCGCGGUAAUACAGAGGUCUCAACCGUUGUUCGGAUUCAUUGGGCGUAAAGGGUGCGUAGGCGGUCGCGCAAGUCGGAUGUGAGAUCUCAGGGCUCAACCCUGAAACUGCAUUCGAUACUGCGUGGCUAGAGUACUGGAGAGGAGACUGGAAUUUACGGUGUAGCAGUGAAAUGCGUAGAUAUCGUAAGGAAGACCAGUGGCGAAGGCGAGUCUCUGGACAGUAACUGACGCUGAGGCACGAAGGCCAGGGGAGCAAA
rnacentral:rRNA from 1 species